CACGUAGGGCGCAAGCGUUGUCCGGAAUUACUGGGCGUAAAGCGUGCGCAGACGGUCUCGUAAGUCGGGUGUGAAAUCCCCGGGCUCAACCUGGGAAUUGCAUUCGAAACUGCGAGGCUAGGGUACGGAAGAGGGAAGCGGAAUUUACGGUGUAGCGGUGAAAUGCGUAGAUAUCGUAAGGAAGACCAGUGGCGAAGGCGGGUCUCUGGACAGUUCCUGACGCUGAGGCACGAAGGUCAGGGGAGCAAACGGG
rnacentral:rRNA from 1 species